rnacentral:rRNA from 1 species
UACGUAGGGGGCAAGCGUUGUCCGGAUUUAUUGGGCGUAAAGAGCGUGUAGGCGGCCAUACAGGUCAGCUGUGAAAACUCGAGGCUCAACCUCGAGACGUCGGUUGAAACCGUAUGGCUAGAGUCCGGAAGAGGAGAGUGGAAUUCCCGGUGUAGCGGUGAAAUGCGCAGAUAUCAGGAAGAACACCUAUGGCGAAGGCAGCACUCUGGGACGGUACUGACGCUGAGACGCGAAAGCGUGGGGAGCGAACAGG